rnacentral:misc_RNA from 1 species
GCAAACUUGGUCAUUUAGAGGAAGUAAAAGUCGUAACAAGGUUUCCGUAGGUGAACCUGCGGAAGGAUCAUUAAUGAAUAUAUAUACUUGAUGGGUCUGUAGCUGGCCUCUCGAGGCAUGUGCACGGCCUGUCUUGCCUUCCAUUCAUCCACCUGUGCACUCUUUGUAGUCAACUUGAAGAGCAAUGUACCAUAAGUGACCAAUAUUCAGUCUAAAGAUUGGAUAUGUCAUCAUGAAGGUCUUGCUUCCAAGGGACUAUGUUUUUCAUCACAAACUCUUAUCGAAUGUUGUCAGAAUGUAGUUAAUGGGCCACCGUGCCUAUAACAUAAUAUACAACUUUCAGCAACGGAUCUCUUGGCUCUCGCAUCGAUGAAGAACGCAGC